AUUGAACGCUGGCGGCAGGCCUAACACAUGCAAGUCGAGCGAGCGGCGGACGGGUGAGCAAUGUCUGGUAAACUGCCUGCUGUAGGGGGAUAACUCCUGGAAACGGUAGCUAAUACCGCUCACCAUCACAUUUGCCCAGAUUGGUUUAGCUAGUAGGUGUGGUAACGGCUCACCUAGGCGACGAUCCCUAGCGGAUCUGAGAGGAUGACCAGCCACACUGGAACUGAGGCACGGUCCAGACUCCUACGGGAGGCAGCAGUGGGGAAUAUUGAGCAAUGGGCGAAAGCCGGAUGCAGCCAUGCCGCGUGUGUGAAGAAGGCCUUCGGGUUGUAAAGCUCUAUCAGCGGGGAAGCGGUACCCGCAGAGGAAGCAACGGCUAACUCCGUGCCAGCAGCCGCGGUAAUUC
rnacentral:rRNA from 1 species